rnacentral:rRNA from 1 species
GAUGAACGCUGGCGGCGUGCCUAAUACAUGCAAGUCGAGCGAACGGACGAUAAUCUUGCUUUUCUGAUGUUAGCGGCGGACGGGUGAGUAACACGUGGAUAACCUACCUAUAAGACUGGGAUAACUUCGGGAAACCGGAGCUAAUACCGGAUAAUAUUUUGAACCGCAUGGUUCAAAAGUGAAAUACGGUCUUGCUGUCACUUAUCGAUGGAUCCGCGCUGCAUUAGCUAGUUGGUAAGGUAACGGCUUACCAAGGCAACGAUGCAUAGCCGACCUGAGAGGGUGAUCGGCCACACGGGAACUGGACCACGGUCAAGACUCCUACGGGAGGCAGCAGUAGGGAAUCUUCCGCAAUGGGCGAAAGCCUGACGGAGCAACGCCGCGUGAGUGAUGAAGGUCUUCGGAUCGUAAAACUCUGUUAUUAGGGAAGAACAUAUGUGUAAGUAAAUGUGCACAUCUUGACGGUACCUAAUCAGAAAGCAACGGCUAACUACGUG